rnacentral:rRNA from 1 species
AAUGGGGGCAACCCUGAUCCAGCCAUGCCGCGUGUGUGAAGAAGGCCUUUUGGUUGUAAAGCACUUUAAGCGAGGAGGAGGGUACCUUGGAUAAUACCCAAGAGUAUCGGACGUUACUCGCAGAAUAAGCACCGGCUAACUCUGUGCCAGCAGCCGCGGUAAUACAGAGGGUGCGAGCGUUAAUCGGAUUUACUGGGCGUAAAGCGUGCGUAGGCGGCCACUUAAGUCGGAUGUGAAAUCCCCGAGCUCAACUUGGGAAUUGCAUUCGAUACUGGGUGGCUAGAGUAUGGGAGAGGAAGGUAGAAUUCCAGGUGUAGCGGUGAAAUGCGUAGAGAUCUGGAGGAAUACCGAUGGCGAAGGCAGCCUUCUGGCCUAAUACUGACGCUGAGGUACGAAAGCAUGGGGAGCAAA